rnacentral:rRNA from 1 species
AGAGUUUGAUCCUGGCUCAGAACGAACGCUGGCGGCAUGGAUUAGGCAUGCAAGUCGAACGGACUUUCAGAAGCUUGCUUCUGAAAGUUAGUGGCGAAAGGGUGAGUAACGCGUGAGUAACUUGCCCCCAAGUCGGGAAUAACACCUUGAAAGGGGUGCUAAUACCGGAUGUGGAUGUUCACCCGCAUGUGUGAACAUCUAAAGAUUUAUCGCUUGGGGAUGGGCUCGCGUCCCAUUAGCUAGUUGGUAAGGUAACGGCUUACCAAGGCUACGAUGGGUAGUUGGUCUGAGAGGAUGAUCAGCCACACUGGGACUGAGACACUGCCCAGACUCCUACGGGAGGCUGCAGUCGAGAAUCUUCCGCAAUGCGCGAAAGCGUGACGGAGCGAUGCCGCGUGCCGGAUGAAGGUCUUCGGAUUGUAAACGGCUGUCACCCGGAACGAAUAAUGACGGUACCGGGAGAGGAAGCCACGGCUAACUACGUGCCAGCAGCCGCGGUAAUACGUAGGUGGCGAGCGUUGUUCGGAUUUAUUGGGCGUAAAGGGUCCGCAGGGUGUCUGCUAAGUCUGAUGUGAAAUCCUAUGGCUCAACCAUAGAACUGCAUUGGAAACUGGUGGACUUGAGUACCGGAGAGGAAAGUGGAAUUCCUGGUGUAGCGGUGGAAUGCGUAGAUAUCAGGAGGAACACCAAAGGCGAAGGCAGCUUUCUGGACGGUUACUGACCCUCAUGGACGAAAGCGUGGGUAGCAAACAGGAUUAGAUACCCUGGUAGUCCACGCCGUAAACGUUGUAUACUGGUUGUAGGAGGAAUUAGUCCCUUCUGUGACUGAGCUAACGCAUUAAGUAUACCGCCUGGGGACUACGGCCGCAAGGCUAAAACUCAAAGGAAUUGACGGGGGCCCGCACAAGCGGUGGAGCAUGUGGCUUAAUUCGAGGCAACGCGAAGAACCUUACCUGGACUUGACAUCGAGUGACCGGCUUGGAAACAAGCCUUUCCUUCGGGACACGAAGACAGGUGCUGCAUGGCUGUCGUCAGCUCGUGCCGUGAGGUGUUCGGUUAAGUCCGGCAACGAGCGCAACCCGUGUCAUUAGUUGCCAUCAGGUAAUGCUGGGAACUCUAAUGAGACUGCCCGUGUCAAGCGGGAGGAAGGCGCGGAUGACGUCAAGUCAGUAUGGCCCUUAUGUCCAGGGCUGCACACGUGCUACAAUGGGCGGCACAAUGGGGAGCAAUACCGCGAGGUGGAGCAAAUCCUGAAAACCGUCCUUAGUUCGGAUUGUAGUCUGCAACUCGACUACAUGAAGUCGGAAUCGCUAGUAAAGGCGUAUCAGCUACGACGCCUUGAAUACGUUCCCGGGCCUUGUACACACCGCCCGUCACAUCAUGGGAGCUGAUUGCACCCGAAGUCGUUGACCCAACUCUUUUGAGAGGGAGACGCCGAAGGUGUGGUUAGUGACUGGGAUGAAGUCGUAACAAGGUA